rnacentral:rRNA from 1 species
CUAACAAGCAGUUGGUGCAAUAUCGACUCUGUCGAAUAAAGUUCUAGGUAGAAUUAUGAUAAUGACAUUGUCUGCCUAUGUGUCUUGACCAAAUUACGUGCCAGCAGUCGCGGUAAUACGUAGAAGACUAGUGUUAUUCAUCUUUAAUAGGUUUAAAGGGUACCUAGACGGUAAAUAAAGCCUUCAAGAGGGACUAAUUUACUAGAGUUACUUGUGAGGGGGUAUUAAAGUACUGCUGGUGUAGAGAUGAAAUUCUGUGAUACCUCUUUUCGUAAGAAAAAUAAUGGCACAGGUAUAGGCGAAAGCAUCCCCUUAUGAGAUAACUGACGUUGAAGGACGAAGGCUUUGUAUAGCGAACAGGAUUAGAUACCCCAGUAGUCAAAGCAGAAAAUGAUGAAUGUCAUAGAUUAGACACAUAAUAGUUUAUUCUAUAAAUGAAAGUGUAAAGCAUUCCACCUCAAAGAGUAAUUUGGGCAACAUUGGGAACUGAAAUCAUUAGACCGUUUCUGAAAACCAGUAGUGGAAGUAUGUUGUUUUAAAUUUGAUAAAUCCCGCAAAAAAACCUUUACCCACAAUUUUGAAUAAUUUUAUUAUUUAUCUUUUCCUGAUCUAAUUACAUGGAAAAGGGAAAAAAAUUAUUAU